AAUCUUCCGGCUUAACCGGAAGGCGUCUCAGGGAUACUGGCAGACUAGGGACCGGAAGAGGUGAGGGGUACUCCAGGGGUAGGAGUGAAAUCCUGUAAUCCUUGGGGGACCACCUGUGGCGAAGGCGCCUCACCAGGACGGCUCCGACAGUGAGGGACGAAAGCUGGGGGAGCAAACCGGAUUAGAUACCCGGGUAGUCCCAGCCGUAAACGAUGUGCGUUAGGUGUAUCGGUGACCACGAGUCACCGAGGUGCCGAAGAGAAAUCGUGAAACGUACCGCCUGGGAAGUACGGUCGCAAGGCUGAAACUUAAAGGAAUUGGCGGGGGAGCACCACAACAGGUGGAGCCUGCGGUUUAAUCGGACUCAACGCCGGAAAACUCACCAGAUAAGACAGCUGAAUGAUAGUCGGGCUGAAGACUCUACUUGACUAGCUGAGAA
rnacentral:rRNA from 1 species